UACGUAGGGUGCGAGCGUUGUCCGGAAUUAUUGGGCGUAAAGAGCUCGUAGGCGGUUUGUCGCGUCUGCUGUGAAAACCUAAGGCUCAACCUUGGGCUUGCAGUGGGUACGGGCAGACUAGAGUGCGGUAGGGGUGACUGGAAUUCCUGGUGUAGCGGUGGAAUGCGCAGAUAUCAGGAGGAACACCGAUGGCGAAGGCAGGUCACUGGGCCGCGAACUGACGCUGGAGGAGCGGAAAGCAUGGGGAGCGAACAGG
rnacentral:rRNA from 1 species